AUUCCAGCUCCAGUAGCGUAUAUUAAAGUUGUUGCAGUUAAAAAGCUCGUAGUUGGAUUUCUGGUCUCACAGAACUGGCCUACUUCCUCAAGGUCGUGUGCGCCGUGUUUUGUGUACCAUCCUUCUAGAAAUUGUGUUCCAUCCCUUCACUGGGAUAGAUCCGAGAUCUAGAUCUUUUACUUUGAAGAAAUUAGAGUGUUCAAAGCAGGCUCGCGCUGUGAAUACAUUAGCAUGGAAUAAUAAUUUAGGACUUGGUAUCCUAUUUUGUUGGUUUUCAGGAUCUAAGUAAUGAUUGAUAGGGAUAGUUGGGGGUGCUAGUAUUUUGCGGCCAGAGGUGAAAUUCUGUGAUUCGCGAAAGACUAACUUAUGCGAAAGCAUUCACCAAGGAUGUCUUCAUUG
rnacentral:rRNA from 1 species